UUAGCAAAUGCAACAUCAGAAAUCAUUUGGGUCAAAUCCAUGCCCAGAGAACUUGGAAAACGUCAUACACAACCCUCUUGUCUCUGGUGUGAUAAUCUUGGUGCCACAUAUUUAUCUGUGAAUCCUGUUUUUCAUGCAAGAACAAAACACAUUGAAAUUGACUAUCAUUUUGUUCGAGAAAGAGUUGCAAACAAAGAAUUGGAAAUUCGCUUUGUUCACUCCAAGGAUCAAGUUGCAGAUGGGUUCACAAAAGCUUUGCCUACAAGACAGUUUGAAGAGUUCAAGCGUAAUCUUAACUUAGCUAAGUUAUGA
rnacentral:rRNA from 1 species